UUUUAAAGAUAUAGUUUCAGAAUGUAGUCGUUUUGCAUCCGUCAAGCUUGCCCUUGUUACAAAUAACUGUUCUUUUUUCCUUGAUUGUUACUUUCACAGUUUUUUAGCACUACAAGCAUUAUUGUUCCAGUUUUUUCUUUAUGUAUUGAUCAUGCCCUUAUUUUUUCUGCCUUUGUAGCUGAAAGAUUAGUGAGACAGACUGAAUUCUGAACAUGUAUCAUCUGUUCCAUGUGAGAGAAAUCGCAUGUGGAUAUCAUCUUGAAAUAAUCACAGCUGGGGGGACGAGGUUGGUAGCUGAGGGUGAUGUGCAGAACGGGAGGAAGGAGGUGUGAGGCUUGGAACUCUCCUUGUGAAGUGCUCAGGGACAGCGGUGAGGAGCAUGGCAGGUGUCCAACCUGACCUCCUCGGCAACAGCAACAAGGGUGGCCGCGGCGACAAGGGAGGAGACGACAACCAGCAGAGCAAUGAGAUCGCUAAGUCUCUGAUCCCGUCACUUCCUGCUCGAUUCGCUUGGCUCCUGUGCUGAUUUCUCUUUGGUUUCCCAGGUUUGUUGUGGUUGCAGGAUGGCGCAGAGGAAUUGGGAAGCGGACUAUGGACAUGAUGCGUGAUGUGCACAUCCAUGACUAUUUUCUCAAGUGAAACAUCCAAACGGCCAACCUGUUCAUGGUGGAGGGGGCCAUGCCUGCUAAGUCCUCCAAUUCAUGCUCAGGCUGGCGGCUGGGGCGAGCUGACCACGAUGCUCUGCGAAGGCGAGUUCUCCAUGGAAUUCACACAACAUUCCAGCGUUCUCGUUGGCAGGUCUCUGCUCUUCUCCAUGUCCACGGGGACAGUGCGUCGAUCGUGGAGCAUGACCUGGCAAGUCGCGAACUGACUCUGCUAGGCCAACCAGACAAGCACUAUAAGCACAGAUGCUGUCAAGGAUGGGGAUUUUUGUCAACGCCUUUGAAUGCGUCAGCCACGACCUCAAGAUCAGGGCUCCUUGUUAUGGAGAAGGUGCUCUCGAGGGUGUAGCACACUCAACAAACAUGGAUGUGCCUUGCUAUCCAAAGAUUCUCCUAGUGAUGUUCCUAAGAGGGCACCAAAUGAAGAAUCGGCGAAGGGUACAACCCGCAAAGAUGAUGCUGGGAACCUUUGACCUCUGAUAGCAAUGUUGAUGGUGCUUCGCCUUCAGAGAAGAAAGUAGAAACCACGAAGUUGGUAACCAAUGCUAUCAAGGAAGGGGACUUUGUCAACACCUUUCGGACCAGUAAAUCAGGCACAUAAGCAGCUGUCCGACGAGGGAACCAAUCCUAUCAAGGAAGGGGACUUUGUCAACACCUUUGAAUGCGUCAGCCACGACCUCAAGAUCAGGCUGGUGAGUUUUUCUAUUCAGCUCAAAGAAGCGCUGUAGCUCAAGAGAGGCAAUUGGUAGCAAAUCAGUCUGGUCAGAAUUCACCGUAGAGUCCUUAGAGCAGCUGAAAGAUUAGUGAGACUGUCUGAUGCUGAACAUGUACCAUCUGUUCCAUGCGAGAGAAAUAGCAUGUCGAUAUCAUCUUGAAAUAAUCACAGCUGGGGAGACGAGGUUGGUAGCUGAGGGUGAUGUGCAGAGCGGGAGGAAGGAGGUGUGAGGCUUGGAACUCUCCUUGUGAAGUGCUCAGGGACAGCGGUGAGGAGCAUGGCAGGUGUCCAACUUGACCUCCUCGGCCAUAGCAACAACAAGGGUGGCCGUGGCAACAAGGGAGGAGACAACAACCAGCAGAGCAAUGAGAUCGCUAAGUCUCUGAUCCCGCCACUUCCUGCUCGAUUCGCUUGGCUCCUGCGCUGAUUUCUCUUUGUUUUCCCAGGUUUGUUGUGGUUGCAGAAUGGCGCAGAGCAACUGGGAAGCGGACUACGUCUACGGACAUGAUGCGUGAUGUACACAUCCAUCACUACUAUUUGCUCAAGUGGAUCAUCCAAACUGCCAACCUGUUCAUGGUGGAGGGGGCGAUGCCUGCUAAGUCCUCCAAUUCAUGCUCAGGUGCAACCUGGAAUGAUUGGGUUUAUGACAUUGGGUGCCAGUAUAAUUCUCAUGCUGACGACAAUUAUUGUUUUGACGAGGAUUCAGUGGUUGUCUGUGGCAUGUGUUCAACUAGGAACUCAUCAUUAUUGGAGUCUUUCAUCUUUAUAUACCAAAGCAAGGCGGGAGAAGAAGCAGAUUGAUUGAUGAAGGAAACACAUGAAAAAGAGGAAAAGACCAGCUAAAUGAUUGAUGGGGCCUGUGACCUAUCCCUGUUGGUUCUCCUUUCCGCAAAUUAAACCAAUAAUCGACAUUGUCAGUUUGAGAGUAUGCUGGAUGUGAGAAUUAAUGAAGAAGAUCACUCAUGCUGUUGAAAGUACACAAGCAGUCACUGUUAAGGUCUACCGAAAAACAUGUAGAUAUGUUUGGGAGCCUUUGUUGUAGCCAACAAAUUGUUCCUCAGAAAUUUAUAUUUAGUUCUGGUGAUUAAAUAUAAAGCAAUGCCUCUUGAAGUAGUUCCUAAGAAUCUUCUACAGGACAUAUGUUUUUGACAAAGUCUACAUGACAUAUGACUAAGACAAGACUCAUGCCAUAAGGUUCUCCAAAAUUCUUUGUUCAAGCAGAAAAACCUUUUUACACAACAACCUCAUUUUUCUCCAGUUUGGGGAUGACAACAGUUCUACUCACAAUGGUGCUGCAUGCUGGAAGUACUCAUUAUCCUGUUGGCUCUACUCUGGGUUCCAUAUUAUGGAGAAGGUGUUCUGGAUGGUCCUAACAAGCUCAUAAACAUGGAUGUGUCUUGCUACCCUCCAGGUGAUGUUCCUAAGACGGGAACCAAAUGAAGAAUCAGUGAAGGGUACAACCAAUAAAGAUGAUGCCGGGAACUUGACGACCUCUGAUAGCAAUGUUAUCGGUGCUCCACCUCCGGAGAAAGCAUGUGGAAGAUCAUUUCCUUUGUUCUCUGAAUUACAUGCACUUUGGUGAACAAAAAGUAUGAUUGGUGUUCCUGGUGAAAAUGAGUGAAGCUAGAAGAUGCUAUGAGAAGGAACUUGCCAAGACUAUUUGAAGAACAGCCUGAUCUCCUGCAUGAGGGGCUCUUUUGUGUGUGCAGGACAAUCCCAACGAUUGUCCAUUCAUUUCAUCCGUCGUGUACAUCUUGGAGAACGGAAGUGCCAAACUUCAUGUCCCGAACCAACCGGUAUAUUCUGCACCUACAAAUAGCAAAGUAGAGCAUGCAACAGGCAAUACUCAAAAUUCGAAGAAUAUGCCAACUUACAGUUCUAGAGAGAAGAUAGGCCAGUUAUCACAUUACAAGAUAUUUUGUAAAGGGGGGCUCAG